UACGUAGGGGGCAAGCGUUGUCCGGAUUUAUUGGGCGUAAAGAGCUCGUAGGCGGUUUGGUAAGUCGGAUGUGAAAUCUCCAGGCUCAACCUGGAGGGGUCAUUCGAUACUGCCAUGACUAGAGUUCGGUAGGGGAGUGUGGAAUUCCUGGUGGAGCGGUGAAAUGCGCAGAGAUCAGGAGGAACACCCGUAGCGAAGGCGGCACCUCUGGGCCGAUACUGACGCUGAGGAGCGAAAGCGUGGGGAGCGAACCGG
rnacentral:rRNA from 1 species